rnacentral:rRNA from 2 species
GGGUUGUGAGGUUAAGCGACUAAGCGUACACGGUGGAUGCCCUGGCAGUCAGAGGCGAUGAAGGACGUGCUAAUCUGCGAAAAGCGUCGGUAAGGUGAUAUGAACCGUUAUAACCGGCGAUGUCCGAAUGGGGAAACCCAGUGUGAUUCGUCACACUAUCGUUAACUGAAUACAUAGGUUAACGAGGCGAACCGGGGGAACUGAAACAUCUAAGUACCCCGAGGAAAAGAAAUCAACCGAGAUUCCCCCAGUAGCGGCGAGCGAACGGGGAGCAGCCCAGAGUCUGAAUCAGCUUGUGUGUUAGUGGAACGGUCUGGAAAGUCCGACGGUACAGGGUGAUAGUCCCGUACACCAAAAUGCACAGGCUGUGAACUCGAAGAGUAGGGCGGGACACGUGGUAUCCUGUCUGAAUAUGGGGGGACCAUCCUCCAAGGCUAAAUACUCCUGACUGACCGAUAGUGAACCAGUACCGUGAGGGAAAGGCGAAAAGAACCCCGGCGAGGGGAGUGAAAAAGAACCUGAAACCGUGUACGUACAAGCAGUGGGAGCACCUUCGGGUGUGACUGCGUACCUUUUGUAUAAUGGGUCAGCGACUUAUAUUCUGUAGCAAGGUUAACCGUAUAGGGGAGCCGCAGGGAAACCGAGUCUUAACUGGGCGUUAAGUUGCAGGGUAUAGACCCGAAACCCGGUGAUCUAGCCAUGGGCAGGUUGAAGGUUGGGUAACACUAACUGGAGGACCGAACCGACUAAUGUUGAAAAAUUAGCGGAUGACUUGUGGCUGGGGGUGAAAGGCCAAUCAAACCGGGAGAUAGCUGGUUCUCCCCGAAAGCUAUUUAGGUAGCGCCUCGUGAACUCAUCUUCGGGGGUAGAGCACUGUUUCGGCUAGGGGGUCAUCCCGACUUACCAACCCGAUGCAAACUACGAAUACCGAAGAAUGUUAUCACGGGAGACACACGGCGGGUGCUAACGUCCGUCGUGAAGAGGGAAACAACCCAGACCGCCAGCUAAGGUCCCAAAGUCAUGGUUAAGUGGGAAACGAUGUGGGAAGGCACAGACAGCCAGGAUGUUGGCUUAGAAGCAGCCAUCAUUUAAAGAAAGCGUAAUAGCUCACUGGUCGAGUCGGCCUGCGCGGAAGAUGUAACGGGGCUAAACCAUGCACCGAAGCUGCGGCAGCGACACUAUGUGUUGUUGGGUAGGGGAGCGUUCUGUAAGCCUGCGAAGGUGUGCUGUGAGGCAUGCUGGAGGUAUCAGAAGUGCGAAUGCUGACAUAAGUAACGAUAAAGCGGGUGAAAAGCCCGCUCGCCGGAAGACCAAGGGUUCCUGUCCAACGUUAAUCGGGGCAGGGUGAGUCGACCCCUAAGGCGAGGCCGAAAGGCGUAGUCGAUGGGAAACAGGUUAAUAUUCCUGUACUUGGUGUUACUGCGAAGGGGGGACGGAGAAGGCUAUGUUAGCCGGGCGACGGUUGUCCCGGUUUAAGCAUGUAGGCUGAUUGUCCAGGCAAAUCCGGAUAAUCAAGGCUGAGGUGUGAUGACGAGGCACUACGGUGCUGAAGUAACAAAUGCCCUGCUUCCAGGAAAAGCCUCUAAGCAUCAGGUAACAUUAAAUCGUACCCCAAACCGACACAGGUGGUCAGGUAGAGAAUACCAAGGCGCUUGAGAGAACUCGGGUGAAGGAACUAGGCAAAAUGGUGCCGUAACUUCGGGAGAAGGCACGCUGGUGUGUAGGUGAAGUCCCUGCGGAUGGAGCUGAGACCAGUCGAAGAUACCAGCUGGCUGCAACUGUUUAUUAAAAACACAGCACUGUGCAAACACGAAAGUGGACGUAUACGGUGUGACGCCUGCCCGGUGCCGGAAGGUUAAUUGAUGGGGUUAUCCGUAAGGAGAAGCUCUUGAUCGAAGCCCCGGUAAACGGCGGCCGUAACUAUAACGGUCCUAAGGUAGCGAAAUUCCUUGUCGGGUAAGUUCCGACCUGCACGAAUGGCGUAAUGAUGGCCAGGCUGUCUCCACCCGAGACUCAGUGAAAUUGAACUCGCUGUGAAGAUGCAGUGUACCCGCGGCAAGACGGAAAGACCCCGUGAACCUUUACUAUAGCUUGACACUGAACAUUGAGCCUUGAUGUGUAGGAUAGGUGGGAGGCUUUGAAGCGUGGACGCCAGUCUGCGUGGAGCCAACCUUGAAAUACCACCCUUUAAUGUUUGAUGUUCUAACGUUGGCCCCUGACCGGGGUUGCGGACAGUGUCUGGUGGGUAGUUUGACUGGGGCGGUCUCCUCCCAAAGCGUAACGGAGGAGCACGAAGGUUAGCUAAUCCUGGUCGGACAUCAGGAGGUUAGUGCAAUGGCAUAAGCUAGCUUGACUGCGAGCGUGACGGCGCGAGCAGGUGCGAAAGCAGGUCAUAGUGAUCCGGUGGUUCUGAAUGGAAGGGCCAUCGCUCAACGGAUAAAAGGUACUCCGGGGAUAACAGGCUGAUACCGCCCAAGAGUUCAUAUCGACGGCGGUGUUUGGCACCUCGAUGUCGGCUCAUCACAUCCUGGGGCUGAAGUAGGUCCCAAGGGUAUGGCUGUUCGCCAUUUAAAGUGGUACGCGAGCUGGGUUUAGAACGUCGUGAGACAGUUCGGUCCCUAUCUGCCGUGGGCGCUGGAGAAUUGAGGGGGGCUGCUCCUAGUACGAGAGGACCGGAGUGGACGCAUCACUGGUGUUCGGGUUGUCAUGCCAAUGGCACUGCCCGGUAGCUAAAUGCGGAAGAGAUAAGUGCUGAAAGCAUCUAAGCACGAAACUUGCCCCGAGAUGAGUUCUCCCUGAGACU